UACGUAGGGUGCGAGCGUUGCCCGGAUUCAUUGGGCGUAAAGCGCGCGCAGGCGGAUGCACGCGUCCCGCGUGAAAUCGCCCGGCUCAACCGGGCGGGGUCGCGGGAUACGGUGCGUCUGGAGCACGGGAGGGGGCAGUGGAAUUCCCGGUGUAGUGGUGGAAUGCGUAGAGAUCGGGAGGAACACCAGUGGCGAAGGCGACUGCCUGGACCGUGGCUGACGCUGAGGCGCGAAAGCGUGGGGAGCAAACAGG
rnacentral:rRNA from 1 species